UACGUAGGUGGCAAGCGUUGUCCGGAUUUACUGGGUGUAAAGGGCGCGUAGGCGGGUCUGUAAGUCAGAUGUGAAAUACCAGGGCUUAACCCUGGGGCUGCAUUUGAAACUGCAGGUCUUGAGUGAUGGAGAGGCAGGCGGAAUUCCUAGUGUAGCGGUGAAAUGCGUAGAUAUUAGGAGGAACACCAGUGGCGAAGGCGGCCUGCUGGACAUUAACUGACGCUGAGGCGCGAAAGCGUGGGGAGCAAACAGG
rnacentral:rRNA from 1 species